AUACGGAGUAUAAAGAAAAAAGUGUUCCCUUUAGAAGAAUGAGAAAAUCGAGCACAAAGUAAAUUUAAAGGAUUUUGGAGCUUUUUCAUGGUGCGCCUCCAUUGAAGCUUAAUUGUGAGCUUCUUUCCACCAUUGAUGAAGCUUCCGAGUUAUAAGUAUGUAAUUUGCUGUUCCUUCCAUGUCAAAUGGUGAAGAAGAUGCUGAUGAUGAAACUGAUGAAGAGCGUCUUCAAACUAUAAGCAUUCUUAGCAAUUGCGUCAACAAUUCACCAAAACAUUAAGCUUUUAGGAUUUCCUUCUGUGCUCCUCCUGAAGAGGAGGCUGUUGUAUACGGCUGAUUUCUUGGGUUGCAUCAUCUGCUUGAAUCCUGUCUAAGUUGCCCUGGCUCUUGUGAGUUCUUGGUGUAUCCCAUUACAAUUCCCUAAGAUAUGGUAAACAGAGCAUCCCACAGCUUUUGGAGUUAUAAUGCUACAACAAAAGAGACAAGUAUAAUUUCCAGUAUGUGGUGGAGGAAAGAGUAGAGUAUAACUUGUCAAGUGUGAAAAUAUUUGUCGGAUAAAGGACAAGGGAGUUGUAACCAUGUGACAAAUGCGAUAGAGGGUUUCAUAUAGGAUGUGUUUGACCCAUCAUUGUUUGUAUCUCCAUGGCCAUUUAUUAGCAGAUUGAGGAAGAUGGAGGCUGCAGGGUUCUGAAAAUUUAUCAUGGAAUGCAAUAGUUUGUCACCUAAGAUGCAGCACUUUUCAGCAUCUUUUAAUUCAACUCAAAAGGAUUUCUUCAUGGGAUUGCGAAGAUUUUGGCAAAGGCAUUGACGAUGGUGAAAAGAUAAGACUAUUUUUAUGUCAAAUGUGAGGAAUGUGGCUCAGGUGAAGAAAAGCAGUUGCAACCGUGUGUUAAGUGCAAUAAAGGUUAUUUUUAUGUCAAAUGCGAGAAAUGUGGUUCAGGCUAAGAAAGGGAGUUGUAGUCUUAUUUUUAUGUCAAAUGCGAGAAAUGUAGUUCAGGCGAAGAAAGGGAGUUGUAACCUUAGGCGAAGAAAGAGAGUUGUAACCUUAUUUUUAUGUCAAAUGCGAGAAAUGCGGGUUGGGCGAAGAAAGGGAGUUGUAACCUUAUUUUUAUGUCAAAUGUGAAGAAUGUGGGUCAGGCGAAGAAAGGGAGCCGUAAUCGUAUGAUAAGUGCAAUAAAAGGGUUUCGAGCUGUGUUAAAGAAUUAUUUUCUGUCAAGUGUGAAGAAUGCGGGUCGGGUGAAGUAGGGGAGUUGUAACCAUGUGAUAAGUGCAAUAAAGGGUUUCAUAUAAGUUGUGUUUGACCAA